GGUCAAUGAUGAUUGGUAAAAGGUCUGAUUGCACUUAGUGUCACAGUCCCUUCCUUGCCCUCAGCUCCCAGCAGCCCAUUUUUUCCUCCUAUCACAUUUAAGUCAUGUGCAUGGGAUAAUGGAGCAGCUGAUAAUUGGGAUUCUGUCAGUGUGUGUUUCUGAGAGUGGUCAGUUCACAGCUGACAACUAUCCAACAGAACCAGCCUUCAGGAGCGUGACGAGGGCAGCAUGGGUGUGAUGGUGCAUGAUCUCAAGUUUUCAAUCUGAGACC